rnacentral:rRNA from 1 species
UACGUAGGGGGCGAGCGUUGUCCGGAAUUAUUGGGCGUAAAGGGCACGCAGGCGGUCUGCUAAGUUCGGGGUGAAAGUCACCAGCUUAACUGGUGAAGGACUUCGAAAACUGGUGGACUUGAGAGCGAGAGAGGGACAUGGAACUCCGGGUGGAGCAGUGAAAUGCGUAGAUAUCCGGAAGAACACCAAAGGCGAAGGCAGUGUCCUGGCUCGUUUCUGACGCUGAGGUGCGAAAGCUAGGGGAGCGAACGGG